AGAGAGAGACAUGCGCGCAUAUCAAUAAGCGGAGGAAAAGAAACUAACUAGGAUUCCCUCAGUAACGGCGAGUGAAGCGGGAAGAGCUCAAAUUUGAAAUCUUCAAGGGUUCUACCUUUACGAAUUGUAGUUUAAAGAAGUGUUUUCUGUUGAGGUUUUGGUAAAAGUUCUUUGGAAUAGGGACAUCAUAGAGGGUGAGAAUCCCGUAUUUGACCAUUACUUUCCAACUUUGUGAUACACUUUCAAAGAGUCGGAUUGUUUGGGAAUGCAGUCCAAAAUGGGUGGUAAAUUUCAUCUAAAGCUAAAUAUUGGCGAGAGACCGAUAGCGAACAAGUACCGUGAGGGAAAGAUGAAAAGAACUUUGAAAAGAGAGUUAAACAGUACGUGAAAUUGUCAAAAGGGAAGCGUUUGACACCAGUGUUGUUUUCUCGAAAAUCAAUUAAAAAAGGCAGGAUUUUGUGUUGUAUUGACUUUAUCAGCUUUCUGCACUCUUUUCUUGUCUUUUUUAAUGCACUUUUCGUUUAACAAGUCAACAUCAAUUUCUUUAGUUGUAAAAGGGUCAUUGGAAGGUGGCUUUCUUUUCGGAGAAAGUGUUUAUAGCCUUUGGCCUCUGCAAUCGGAGAGAUUGAGGUCUGCAGCGUAGAUCCUUCGGGGUUAGAUACAUUUGUGCUAAGUUAUAGCCUUUCAUAGACAACUUGUUGACUAUGAUCAGUCAUGUAGCUUACUCGCUUAUGCUAUUUUACCUACGCUUAGGAUGUUGAUGUGAUACUGCGAGCA
rnacentral:rRNA from 1 species